GAUGAACGCUGGCGGCGUGCCUAAUACAUGCAAGUCGAGCGAACAGACGAGGAGCUUGCUCCUCUGACGUUAGCGGCGGACGGGUGAGUAACACGUGGAUAACCUACCUAUAAGACUGGGAUAACUUCGGGAAACCGGAGCUAAUACCGGAUAAUAUAUUGAACCGCAUGGUUCAAUAGUUAAAGACGGUUUUGCUGUCACUUAUAGAUGGAUCCGCGCCGCAUUAGCUAGUUGGUAAGGUAACGGCUUACCAAGGCGACGAUGCGUAGCCGACCUGAGAGGGUGAUCGGCCACACUGGAACUGAGACACGGUCCAGACUCCUACGGGAGGAAGCAGUAGGGAAUCUUCCGCAAUGGGCGAAAGCAUGACGGAGCAACGCCGCGUGAGUGAUGAAGGUCUUCGGAUCGUAAAACUCUGUUAUUAGGGAAGAACAAAUGUGUAAGUAACUAUGCACGUCUUGACGGUACCUAAUCAGAAAGCCACGGCUAACUACGUG
rnacentral:rRNA from 1 species